CCCCGCUCUUUAGCUACACACAGGGAGGCCACAGUGCCACCGUGAGCUAGCAAGAAGACAGGAAGUGACAAUCAAGAAGGCUGGUGAUGACCUUACAAGGAAAGGCUGCACUCAGCCGAUGCACUGCGGCAGUCAGUUGUGCAAAGACCCAGGCUGGAUUCCUGAGACCCUGAUUCUCUGCCCAAGUGGAAUGCGCUCAUCAGGGUCCUCUAAAGAGGCUGUCACCCUCAGACUACAGGAAGAAGUUCAGUGAACACAAUGCCCACAUUCCCAAGAAGUGGGCUUCAAGAUUGCUGGGUAAUUUUUGUAUCCAUGCAUAUUAGCCUGAAAGUCCAUGAAGAUCCCGCCACAUUAUCAAGGUCAGAACGAAGACCCCACUUUGCGGCCAUCUAACUCCGUCUGGAAGAGCGACAGCUUCCA